rnacentral:rRNA from 1 species
UACGAAGGGGGCUAGCGUUGCUCGGAAUCACUGGGCGUAAAGCGCACGUAGGCGGCUUUUUAAGUCAGGGGUGAAAUCCUGGAGCUCAACUCCAGAACUGCCUUUGAUACUGGGAAGCUUGAGUCCGGGAGAGGUGAGUGGAACUCCGAGUGUAGAGGUGAAAUUCGUAGAUAUUCGCAAGAACACCAGUGGCGAAGGCGGCUCACUGGCCCGGUACUGACGCUGAGGCACGAAAGCGUGGGGAGCAAACAGG